rnacentral:lncRNA from 1 species
UUGGCCUUUCUUCUUCGUUCGCCAUGUUGCUUUAAUUACCGCGAGGGCUAUUAAGCCUCGUUUCAGUGCAACUUCCGGUUUUUUCUGGAAUCGGUGUAUUGCAAAAACUGCUUUGCAUUGGACGCCAGAAGGAAAACGCAAGAGGGGCCACCCUAAGAUCACAUGGCGGCGGAUGGUGGAGAAGGAAAUCAAGGAGAUGGGGAAGACCUAGGAAGGCAUCAAGUUUAUGGCAAGGGACAAAUGUGGAGGGAACAUAUUGCUGCCCUACAUGCCACGUAGGCGUAAAGGGCAUGAGUGAGUGUGCACUGCAACAUUACGAACUGAGAUGGAAAAAGAGAUGCUGAAAUUACAGAAGAAAUUUCUUCAAGAAACCCGCAAGCAGACAGAAGAUCACGUUAAGAUGGCGUUCAACACUUUGCUGUUUCCUUGAAUGUAUUCUGAAGAAGCUGUUCUCAUCUAAAUGAGUAUUAUUGGUUGUUAAUAAUGGGUAAUAACCAUAUUGAUACUUGAUGAUUUAACAUUACCAAUUACAGUAUAACUCCGAUAAAAUGGCCAUACUGGGGAUGUCUCUAAAACGAAGACCUCUAAAACGAAGAUCUAAGACCCUAAGAGCCUAAGGCCCCAAAAACUCUAAAACGAAGACCCCCUAAUUUUCUAAGCGUUUUUUAUCUUUAGUGAAGUUUUGCUCCUUCUUUAUCCGGCCAAUAACGCGAUAACAACAACAACAAAAUUAAACCGCGUUAAGAUUUUAACCGCCAUCUUUAGCUGAGCAACCAAGCUCUCACACUUUGGCCGGUAGUGGCAUUUGUAGUAUGAAACCUCCAUUUGGUGCUAAAAUUCAGGCCCGGGUUGUUCGAAAGGUGGAUAGCCUGGGUUUUUUUUUUUAACUGUUAUCCACUGGAUAGCGAUUUAUCCGGUGGAUAGCGUUAUCCAGCCUUUGAACAACUGGGGCCAGAUAUUUUGUUAUAUACUCAAAGCCGACUUAUUUUGGGAGAACCUUUCUAAAAACUUUUAAACUGUAAAGUAUAAAUAAUUCUGUCAGCGUUCAAAACAGUCUGCAAAAAAUGUUUAGUUCUAUUCAUUAUGAAGUAUUAGUCAGUAUUAAAUCAAGGAAACAGUCAAGAGUCCCGUCAUUUACGGCUAUCUACAGAUUUACACGGAAAGAUUGCAUACCUGGGAGGCUUCGGCGUCCAUUCAUAAACUACUUUUACACUGACUAUAUAUAUGAUGAUUGCUUCGCAAGAAGCAUGAAACUUGGAGUGGCAAGUAAAUGUGUUUUAACUAGUUUGACAAAUCUUUCUGUCUUGUUCAUAGCUUUUUAUCUGAAGAAAGCGAUAGGCCAAAACGUCAUUACACUAGUCGGAACUGACAUGGGUUCGUUGAUCUCUUUCCGGCAAUUUCCAAGUAUACAUACUUUCUGAUCUUCUAUGAACUUAUACCUAAACCAUAGUACAAUACAAGGUAACAUUCUUUAUUUCACAUGAUGCGACCACUUUCUUGUCUUUUCUGUGAUGGCAAAGCACGUGCUCUCUCUUCCUCCACAUGAUUGACAGAAGGAAGCAAAUCGGUGGGUAGCCUAACUUCCGGCCAAGUGUGGGAGCCUGGUUACUCAGCUCAAGAUGGCGGAUAAAACAUUGACACCAAUAUGAUCAAAAUUGGCCACAUAAAGAAGGAGCAAAACUUCACUAAAGGAAAAAAAUGCUUAGAAAAUUAGGGGGUCUUCAUUUUAGAAUAUUAUGGGGUCUUAGGGUCUUCGUUUUAGAGGUCUUCAUUUUAGAGACACCCCCAUACUGGUUUAAUAUCUGAUCCACAUUAUUAUUGCAAUAUUUAGUCUUUUCUUUUUAUGCAGAAUUGGCUGGAUCAAAAAUGUUUUCCUGUGGCAAUUUGUUAUAUCGGAGCUGAACUGUACUUAUAUCUUUAGUUUAUGUUCAGUACACCAUGCAUCUGACAUAUUUAUUGUAGCUGAAACAGCCUUUGUAUUUAAAUUAUGUAGCAAUGUAGCAACUUUCUUGCUAAGGUAUUGACCCAAGUGCACUGUUAUAUUGUUAUUGUAAUUAUGCAAAGAAAGUGGAAACGCAUUUGAAGUUAAUAUGUAUAAGUUUAUUUAUUUCUAUAGUAUUUUUUGAAAUACAUUGAACAAAGAACGUUUUUGCUCUGAAGAUGAGCCUAGAGGAGAUUAUGGUCUUCAAAUAAAGGGUGACGAUGAUCAAACAUAUCAAACAUUGGAGCAAGUCAUGCAAAGAAAAUAUUUUGCCUGUCUGCAUAUGAGUAACAGCCAUUUGGGAUAUUUAGGUCCCUGACGAGGGGACUACGAGUUACUUUCAACUUCUUAUAUUUGUGUCAGUAAAUUUAACUGGGAAUAAGUGUCAAAAAUUAAUUGUGGCAUAUACACCCUCAAACAAAGACUCAGUCACUGCACCACCCCCCCCCCACCCCCCUUCCAAAAAGGUCUCAAUCCUUUUACCAUAUUUAUUCGAUUAACUGCCUUGAGUGCUCAUUGAAUUCUUGGACGUUGAGAGUGCGUGCUUAUUCAAGGUGGGAGCUUAAUCGAGGUUGGGGCUAAAUUAAAUUUUCACCAUUUUCAGCAAGUGUAGUAUGUUUAUUUUGCACCAAAACAAUAAAUGGUGAUAACAAAAUGCGAAGAUGUAACAAAGCAAGGUUUCUUUAAAAUACUCUGAAGAAAACUCUGUCUUCGGGAAAGUCUCUUGUAAGUACUUAUUCAAGUUCAAUUUCAAUUUUAUCAUCACUCAAAUCAGUAAGUGAAUUUUCUGGUGCUGCCUCUUCAAUGUCUGACAUCUUAACGUGAGCAAAUGGGUUAGUAGCCAGAGAAGCAGAUAAAGCUUGCUGGAAGGAUGUUAGGCAAUCUAGGCUGGCAUGACAAGGCUGACUUUCCUUUGGGAAAUGAAUUUGGUCAUCUUCAGAUCCAUCAGGAGCCACAGUGUAAAUGCGCAGCUUCUGAAAGAACAAAUAAUUAACUCUCUAUUCAGACUGUUGCAGGCGUCAAGAAGGAUGGACAUUUAUCCAAGUUUGAGUGGGAGAGGCAGGGCGCUUAUUAACUUUUACUGCCUUCAGGAAUUGGGCACUUAUUCCAGGUUGGGUGCUUAUUUGAGUAAAUACGGUAUAUUGGGUGAAAGGAAAAACACUUGUUAAUGAGAUAAAUUUAACUUUUUGGAUGCCUUGGAAAUGUAAUUUUAGAUACUUGUUAAUAGAUUUGUGCCUUGCAGUGCAAGACAUGGACAGAAAACGAGAAGUGCUUUAAUCCAUUCAACCGAAAAAUCUAGAAUUUUGACAUUGGGACAAAUGGUAAGGAAAUUUCGUGAGAAAAAUUUCCACAAAAUUCGAAAAUGCAAACCCUUCACCAGAAAUUCUCAAAAUUUUGAGGAAAAGUUAAGCUGUAUUUUCUGACCAGGGGCAUGCUUGAACGUCCCUCCAUAUCACUCUUCUUGUUAUUGUUUGGAUCAUGCCCUUGUUGUGGCAAGUUAUGGUCAUAAUGGCCCUUUUUUCAUACCUGGGACAUAAUUGUAAAAUUAAACGAAACUUACCUAAGUUGAAGUUUGAUUGAGAUUCUACGAAGUCAUUGGUCUGGAGCUAAGGAGUCAGGUGAGAUAUGCNNGCNAAACNAGAGCGGUCACACUUUAAAGGCGAAUGAUCAGGACUGUUGUAAAUCAGUAGGGUGGGUAGCCCAGAUGGGAGGGCACCUGACUCCUUAGCUCCAGACCAAUGACUUCGUAGAAUCUCAAUCAAACUUCAACUUAGGUAAGUUUCAUUUAAUUUUAGAAUUCUACUUCGUCAUUGGUCAGUGUCGCUAAGGAGUCACAUGAGACUUAAAAGUGUCAUGAUCAUGAGCAAAACCAUGAACAUCAAUCUAUUUAAUGCAAUAUAGAUGACAAUAGGGUGCUGUAACAAGGUACACACCACAUCAAAAUGUCAUGUCUCUUCAAGUAAGCUUACAGUAACAGUAACAAUAUGGUAAACAAUUCUGGUUGAAACAACUGUGUGAAAAGCAUUUAACAGCUACUAUGCAGUAGUUCAUGUCCAAAAUUUGCGGAAGUGUCUUGGAUGGGCUUGUCAUAAAACCAAGCAAAGGUGCUCUCACUACUCCAACCUGCUGCAGACAUGGUAGUGUCAAUAGGGACCUGUUUCCCCUUUGCAGCUGAUGUGGCAGCUGCUCUUGUGCUACGUGCUUUAUAUACACUAGUGUCAAUUCCUGCUUUGGCCAUGGCAUUCUUGAUCCAGUGAGCGAUAGUGUCAGUUGACACAGGCUUGUGAGGCUUCUGAUAGCCAAUCAGCAACUGGUCAGUUUCUCCUCUUAAGUGAGAUGUUCUGUCGAUAUAGGCGUGCAAAUGUUGUACAACACACAGGUUCUUCGUAUGCCAAAAACUCAAUUCGACCUAGGUGCUUGCCCGGCCAAGUGGUCUUGAGUGGUGUUUCAGUGGUAAAUACACGUGUUUGCAGUUAAAGUCAUUGAGGUCAGAUUAAGCGCCUUCAGCGUCUGUACUUUCUGGCCAGACAAGAGGGCAAGCAACAUGGUAAGCUUCCAGGACAGAUCUCUCAGACUUAAAUCCACUCCAAGAGUCCAGGUGGCAAGUACCUUUAGGGCAGAGUUUACAUCCC